rnacentral:rRNA from 1 species
UACGGGGGGAGCAAGCGUUGUUCGGAUUUACUGGGCGUAAAGGGCGCGUAGGCGGCGUGACAAGUCACUUGUGAAAUCUCCGGGCUUAACUCGGAGCGGUCAAGUGAUACUGUCGUGCUAGAGUGCGGAAGGGGCUACUGGAAUUCUCGGUGUAGCGGUGAAAUGCGCAGAUAUCGGGAGGAACACCAGUAGCGAAGGCGGCACUCUGGGCCGGAACUGACGCUGAGGAGCGAAAGCGUGGGGAGCAAACAGG